rnacentral:lncRNA from 1 species
GAAGUUUUUGGAUUCACCCCAGAAGAUGAGACCUCCCCAUGAAGCAAAGAGGAGGAUAUGUAGUUUGCUUUGUAUCCAAGGCUUCUCAGGAAUUAGGAUCACCAUUGCUCACAUGAUUAAAAACCCUUGGAAUUUCUCUUCCAGCUGUCGAUGUUUAUCAGCUUUGAUAACCCCUUUCGAUCCCACACUGUCAAAGGUCUAACCUUUGUCAGCAGAGGAUCACAAUUUCACAGAGUAAAAUGCAAGUUUCCAAACAAAAAAGUGAUGGUUUCCACUCUCCACUCUCCUCAAAACCUUGUAGCUUCAGUUGCACAAUACCCACCCUAGCAUGUGCCCUCUCAUUCAUACUGGCAAGACCCAAAGCUCAACUGACAUAAAAAAAG